GGGAGCGGCGGGUGGGGAAAAUGUACCAGCGUGUAUGCCUACUGGGACCACGUUUUCCAGAACAGUUAAGCCCAGUGUCAACUAUGCUGUCCCACCUUCCUCGGCUUCCCUGGUGGCGCAGUGGUUGAGAGUCUGCCUGCCGAUGCAGGGGACGCGGAUUCGUGCCCCGGUCCGGGAAGAUCCCACAUGCCGCGGAGCGGCUGGGCCCGCGAGCCAUGGCCGCUGAGCCUGCGCGUCCGGAGCCUGUGCUCCGCAACGGGAGAGGCCACAACAGUGAGAGGCCCGUGUACCGGAAAAAAAAAAAACAAACAAAACUCCGUUUUAAUUUAAUUUUUCUUAAGGUAACAUUGGUUACCGCUUCUCAGCUCGAAAUUCACUCUUUUGUUACUUGCUCUGUGAAAAGUGCUAUGGGUCCUUUAAAUAGUUUUUC